rnacentral:rRNA from 1 species
AGAGUUUGAUCAUGGCUCAGAACGAACGCUGGCGGCAUGCCUAACACAUGCAAGUCGAACGAGACCUUCGGGUCUAGUGGCGCACGGGUGCGUAACGCGUGGGAACCUGCCUUUAGGUUCGGAAUAACUCAGAGAAAUUUGAGCUAAUACCGGAUAAUGUCUUCGGACCAAAGAUUUAUCGCCUUUAGAUGGGCCCGCGUUGGAUUAGCUAGUUGGUGGGGUAAAGGCCUACCAAGGCGACGAUCCAUAGCUGGUCUGAGAGGAUGAUCAGCCACACUGGGACUGAGACACGGCCCAGACUCCUACGGGAGGCAGCAGUGGGGAAUAUUGGACAAUGGGCGAAAGCCUGAUCCAGCAAUGCCGCGUGAGUGAUGAAGGCCUUAGGGUUGUAAAGCUCUUUUACCCGAGAUGAUAAUGACAGUAUCGGGAGAAUAAGCUCCGGCUAACUCCGUG